GCGCCGAUGGUGUAAUGGCGUAGCAUCCUGUCCGCUAAGUAGGAGUUACGGGUUCGAGUCCCGACUGGCGCU
rnacentral:tRNA from 1 species